AGUCUAAACCCCAACCUAACACACUCCCUUACUCUCUCUCUCUCACGCUUCUCUCUCUUUAUCUCUUCCGCCUCCUACGUCGUCGCCUCUGGUGCCGCCAUCGGCGACCACCACUGCCGUCGCCUCCACCUCCUCCCUCACUGCCCCUCUCUCUCUUCUCCUGUUCUCUUCACCUAUCUUCACCAGUCGUCUACUUCGUCUUCUCCACUCUCGUCGUCAGUUCAAGCUUUGUCGGUUCGUCUCCAUUGUCGUCGGGUAACAAGCAUCGCCGUCGGCGCACAAGAGCACCACCGUCGCAACACCGUCGAUCCAUCACCCCAAGUUUUCUUUCAUCAAUAAAGUUUUUGGUUGAAACCCCCCAAAGAGAGGCAGCAGAAAGCUUUUGAGGAUGAAAUUGAAAGAAUUACUUUAGAAGCACAAAGUCGUAUCUCUGAAGCUGAAAAAACCUUUGCAGACGCAUUAGAGAGAGAGAGAGAACUGCAGAUGGAUUAUAUGGAAUCAAUUAAAAAGCUCGAAGAAAAGUGGGUGCUGAAUCAACAAAAGCAUGGCAAUAAUAGCUUCAUAAACGGCACAUAUAAUGGAGAGGUAGCCAACAGUUGAACUGUGUCUUGUAUUAUGUAUUGGUAAUUUCAGCCUGUCCUCUCAAGCUACUGCUUCCUUGUCAUUUUAAAAUAAUAUUGGAGUUUUGCAUUGUCCAGUCCAGUGUCAACGAGAGUGAUUAUAUAUCUUUAAUGGUUCUAUUUAUCAACAAAAUAUAUCUUUAAUGGUUGCAUCUACUGUGUUGAUGUGAAUGGGGACCACAGAAAUUCAUAGUUCCUAAGUGUUUGUCCAUUUACUUUUUUCCAUUUUUAAGGGACUAUGUUCUGUAUGUCAUUAUUGUUUUGCACGAACAUAUUGAUUUGCAUGUUAAGGUGCCAACACAAAAGGUUGAAGGAGAUAUUAUUUUGUGUUGGCUGGUUGUUUUUGGAACCAAAACUCAAUUAUAUUGUCAAAAUUUUCUUGUGGAAUAUAUUAAGAGCUGUUAGCCUCA